rnacentral:tRNA from 1 species
GGGGUAUUAGUUUAAUUGGGAAAAUACCGCCCUUGCAAGGCGGCGUUAGGAGUUCGAUUCUCCUAUGCUCCA